AGAGUUUGAUCAUGGCUCAGGAUAAACGCUGGCGGCGCACAUAAGACAUGCAAGUCGAACGAACUUAACUCAUUCUUUUAGUUUGAGAGCGGUUAGUGGCGGACUGGUGAGUAACACGUAAGCAACCUGCCUAUUAGAGGGGAAUAACAGUGAGAAAUCAUUGCUAAUACCGCAUAUGCUAACAGUAUCGCAUGAUACAGUUAGGAAAGGAGUAAUCCGCUAAUAGAUGGGCUUGCGCCUGAUUAGCUAGUUGGUGGGGCAAUGGCCUACCAAGGCGACGAUCAGUAGCCGGACUGAGAGGUUGAACGGCCACAUUGGGACUGAGAUACGGCCCAGACUCCUACGGGAGGCAGCAGUCGGGAAUAUUGCGCAAUGGAGGAAACUCUGACGCAGUGACGCCGCGUAUAGGAAGAAGGUUUUCGGAUUGUAAACUAUUGUCGUUAGGGAGGGUACAAGACAGUACCUAAGGAGGAAGCCCCGGCUAACUAUGUGCCAGCAGCCGCGGUAAUACAUAGGGGGCAAGCGUUAUCCGGAAUUAUUGGGUGUAAAGGGUGCGUAGACGGAGGAGCAAGUUGGUUGUGAAAUCCCUCGGCUUAACUGAGGAACUGCAACCAAAACUACUUCCCUUGAGUGUCGGAGAGGAAAGUGGAAUUCCUAGUGUAGCGGUGAAAUGCGUAGAUAUUAGGAGGAACACCAGUGGCGAAGGCGACUUUCUGGACGAUAACUGACGUUGAGGCACGAAAGUGUGGGGAGCAAACAGGAUUAGGUACCCUGGUAGUCCACACCGUAAACGAUGGAUA
rnacentral:rRNA from 1 species